rnacentral:rRNA from 1 species
CCUACGGGAGGCAGCAGUGGGGAAUAUUGCACAAUGGGCGCAAGCCUGAUGCAGCGACGCCGCGUGAGGGAUGACGGCCUUCGGGUUGUAAACCUCUUUCAGUAGGGAAGAAGCGUAAGUGACGGUACCUGCAGAAGAAGCGCCGGCUAACUACGUGCCAGCAGCCGCGGUAAUACGUAGGGCGCAAGCGUUAUCCGGAAUUAUUGGGCGUAAAGAGCUCGUAGGCGGUUUGUCGCGUCUGCUGUGAAAGACCGGGGCUCAACUCCGGUUCUGCAGUGGGUACGGGCAGACUAGAGUGCAGUAGGGGAGACUGGAAUUCCUGGUGUAGCGGUGAAAUGCGCAGAUAUCAGGAGGAACACCGAUGGCGAAGGCAGGUCUCUGGGCUGUAACUGACGCUGAGGAGCGAAAGCAUGGGGAGCGAACAGGAUUAGAUACCCUGGUAGUCCAUGCCGUAAACGUUGGGCACUAGGUGUGGGGGACAUUCCACGUUUUCCGCGCCGUAGCUAACGCAUUAGUGCCCGCCUGGGGAGACGGCGCGAAGACGUAACGUUACGAAGAGUUAGAGCGNGNGAGNGCGACGGCGACGACGAGGAGAGG